UACAGAGGUGGCAAGCGUUGUUCGGAAUUACUGGGCGUAAAGUGUGCGCAGGCGGCAGAGCAAGUCGAGUGUGAAAGCCCCGGGCUUAACUUGGGAAUUGCGCUCGAAACUACUUUGCUGGAGUGUGGCAGAGGAAGGUGGAAUUCCACGUGUAGCGGUGAAAUGCGUAGAGAUGUGGAGGAACACCAAUGGCGAAGGCAGCCUUCUGGGCCAACACUGACGCUCAUGCACGAAAGCGUGGGGAGCAAACAGG
rnacentral:rRNA from 1 species